UGCACACAGCAGGGGUUGGAACCCGAUGAUCACUGGAGUCCUUUUCAACCCAGGCCGUUCUGUGAUUCUAAGAAAUUGGGGUGUCAGCACCGAGAGCCAAAGGAAACACUCUGAGCACCGCAGAGCUGUGCAACUCGGGGAAGGUGUGUGCGCAGCCAACGCCUCCGCUCAGCACACACAGAACUGCACAAUUCUGAACGCACAGCUGCACGCUCCCAAAUGCAGAGCCGCACACUUCUGAGCCCUCCUGCCCACCAGAGCUGCCUGAUGCAGGCACAACAGAACAAGUAACACUCACCAAAUCCAUGAAUGACGGCGACUACGUGCAAUAUUAACAUUCAACAUCUUCCACGCUGGUGUUUCUCUCCUUGUCGCCUGAGCGCGCUCAGCACAUUCUGUGCUCACCCCCAGCUCCCCUCGUGCUGAACUUGUAUCAGCAGCACGCAGAUACCUCCACGAGUUUUUAUUCUUUCUGAUUACAUGUCAACUCCCAUUUCAGGGUGGAUGUCACUUCGCACACGAAUACAAACGACUUGGCAAUCAGACCGUGAGGGUGCCGCGGAACAGCCUCUCCAGACUCCCAUAGUUCUUCGUCUCUAUCAGAAGAAAAAAGAUCUAUUUCUGGCAGAACCCAAACUGCAGCUUCCUGCUCUCAUUUGUAUCAUCCCUUCCAGUGACACUGACACAGAAGGAAAAAAAAAAAAGCAGCGGCGGGUGUUCUCCAAACUCCAGAGACAUCCCCCCGUUCCUGUUUAUCCUCCCCAGGUCACACUCAUCGCUCACUCAGACGCUGCUGAGCUCAAGUUUCCGACGCUCCCAUCGCGUGUGACAAGCCGCAGGGAUCGCUCCUCUGUGACAAAGGCCUGGGUUAGCAAUGGCAACAAAGGGUGAGCCCUGAGGACGGCUCCCAGUGCCCCAGCAGCGCCUGGCUGGCCCUUGGCACAGGCAGCGGCACGCUCUGCUUCGCUCCGUCACUCGGGGACGCGUCUGUGCUCAGAGCGGAGCCCCGCUCCCUGCAUCUGCUUCUAGGAAAAUGCUCCAAGCAGCCCUUCCCCUCCUUGAGCAUCCCUGAUGUGAUGCGGAUAAUUCCACUGUGCUCCUGGAAUGCUUAUCAUGCUGGACACUCCAGGUCCUCCAGCACAUUCUACCUUCAUUCUCCCAAUCAACAGCAGAUUGCUGCAAAGCUUCAGGAAUGCUCUCAGUGCCCAGAAAGUACCACUGCAGAGCCCGAAAGAAAUCACCUGGUAUUUUCGAUGUCUGGAGACAAAGCAGAAGUGCAGCACAUUUGUGUGCACGUCCCGUGGCACCUCUUACCUGAUUAAAAGCCAUGUACCCUUCAAGAACACACUGGGGCUUUCACCCCAGAGAAAUAAAUAAGAUACUGACCACAC